rnacentral:sRNA from 1 species
CCAGACGCCCAAAAGGGGUCAGCCUGCCGGGCGGAUGCUAAAUCCGGCGGUAGAAACCCUUGUUUCCAUGUUGCUCAAAAGAGGAUGUGGCUAUGAGAA